CGGUGCGCCUAACACAUGCAAGUCGAGCGAGAAGUCUGGUGCUUGCGCCAGAUAGAAAGCGGCGAACGGGUGAGUAACACGUUGGUAUCUGCCCCCAAGUCAGGGAUAGCCAUUGGAAACGAUGAUUAAUACCGGAUAGUCUCUACGGAGUAAAAAUUUAUUGCUUGGGGAGGAACCUGCGGUCUAUCAGCUAGUUGGUAAGGUAAAAGCUUACCAAGGCAAUGACGGAUACCUGGUCUGAGAGGAUGAUC
rnacentral:rRNA from 1 species